rnacentral:rRNA from 1 species
CGAGUUUUAACUGAGCGUUCAGUUACUGGACGUAGACCCGAAACCGGGCGACCUACCCAUGGGCAGGAUGAAGCGAAAGUAAAAUUUCGGGGAGGUCCGAACCCACGAGCGUUGAAAAGCUCGGGGAGGACUUGUGGGUAGCGGUGAAAUUCCAAUCGAGCCCGGAGAUAGCUGGUUCUCCCCGAAAUAGCUUUAGGGCUAGCCUCAAGGUGAGAGAUACGGAGGUAGAGCACUGAAUGUCCUAGGGGGUAUUGCACCUACCGAAGACUAUCAAACUCCGAAU